GAAUUCUGAUUUUUUAUGUCAGAUGGAUUUACUGCAGGAAUUCUAUGAAACAACACUGGAAGCUUUGAAAGAUGCUAAGAAUGAUAGACUGUGGUUUAAGACAAACACAAAGCUUGGAAAAUUAUAUUUAGAACGAGAGGAAUAUGGAAAGCUUCAAAAAAUUUUACGCCAGUUACAUCAGUCGUGCCAGACUGAUGAUGGAGAAGAUGAUCUGAAAAAAGGUACACAGUUAUUAGAAAUAUAUGCUUUGGAAAUUCAAAUGUACACAGCACAGAAAAAUAACAAAAAACUUAAAGCACUCUAUGAGCAGUCACUUCACAUCAAGUCUGCCAUCCCUCAUCCACUGAUUAUGGGAGUUAUCAGAGGCAAGUUUGGUUUGGAGAGGGUGGGCAGUGGCAUGGGGAGAUAUCAAAGUGUUUAAUUAAACUCUUGCUUUUUAGAACUUCAGUGUAUACCUUGGGGCCAGUAGUAUUCAAGUUACAGAAUUUAAAAACUGAAAGGCACUGAAAUAGUUUUCAUUUGGCAUUUAUGAGGUGGUCAGUUUUGUUAUUACAGAACUGAAAAUGUCCU
rnacentral:sRNA from 1 species